GAUGAAGAACGUAGCGAAAUGCGAUAAGUAAUGCGAAUUGCAGAAUCCGUGAGUCAUCGAAUCUUUGAACGCACAUUGCGCCCCUUGGUUAUUCCGAAGGGCAUGCCUGUUCGAGCGUCAUUAUCACCCCUCAAGCCCCGGCUUGGUGUUGGGCCCCGCCCGCUGUGGCCGGCCCUAAAGACAGUGGCGGCGCCGCCUGGCCCUCAGCGUAGUACAUCUCUCGCUCCAGGGUCCGGUGGCCGCCUGCCAGAACCCCCCAACUCUGUGGUUGACCUCGGAUCAGGUAGGGAUACCCGCUGAACUUAAGCAUAUCAAUAAGCGGAGGA
rnacentral:misc_RNA from 1 species